AAAACGUACAAAAUCCUUUUGUGUUCGACGGCUAGGUACCUAGGGAGAGAAUCUCUAGGGAUUUUCGAUGGUGGCGCCGUCACAUCUUGGCGUAGCUUUCUGGAACGCCGCCGCGAGUCAUGCAGCACAUGCAGCAUUCGUCUUGACAACCAUUUGACAACGUAGUCCGUGAACCGGUGUCCCGUAGCGACUUCGUCGUGACUGCCUCAGAGAACGUCUAGUACUGCCUUUGCUUGAUUGACGGACGUCGAGGGCGAAACAGAGCGAAGGUGCUGCAAUGCGCUGCCUUGCCACAAGUGAUGCAAGCCAGAAAGACCAUUACAUGAAGCAAUGAUGGGCGAUACAUGGAGAACGAACGAAGUGAUUGUGCGAGCAGGCCAAGUCAGAAAGUUGCAAGGAAGCUAUUAUUGCAACGAAACCAGCCACCGCCGCCUCUAGCACCAUCCGGUGCCCGUGCUGCAAGUUCAGUCGUAACCCCUGUGGAGGGGGACCGACCCCAUGGAGAAAGUAGGGGCUGACGAGCUGCGUUUAAGUAUGCUUUGCUGGUGCUUUUAGCUAUUUCAAAAGACACAAGAAGUGGCCCGACAUCACUUGGCCAUAGGCUGCUCUUCCUCAUCUCAAUGAGCAUAGCUCUUGGAACACUGGCUCCGCCAGAAAACUAGCCAUAAAGUUCAAGGUAAAGUUUUUAAACCAUGUACUUUUUGUCAUCUCAUGUGAGCUGCCAUACACACAUAGAUGAACCUUUGUUGUUGCUUGGAGGUAGACUUCAUGCUUCUCUCCCAGCAGCCCAGCUCUCUUCUCUUUCUAUUAUGUAUUACUUUUCUUUGAUUUAUGCUUUAAUGACCAAAGUAUGCAUGCUCACUCCCUGCGUGUGAAGGAGAAAUGCACCGGUGUUUAAACACCAUAAAAGGAUGCAAAAAGUUAAAGGACCCCUUGUGACUUUUUUUACUGUAAUUUGUAGCCUUGUGUCUGGAAAUGCCGAAAUUGAGUGAGUCAUAAAUGCUCUGACAUAUCGUAUAAUUAAUGCUAGUGUGUCUAAUUCUCGCCACUUUCAGCUUCAUUUUGAAACACCCGCCUGAGAUUGUAAGAAACUACUUCCCCACAGCGGGGAAGCACCUAGGACAUUGUGCGCUAAAGGUUUGAUGACAUUGACAGCGCAGUUUUUAAAUCGGGGGCCCCGCGCGCGAUAAAGAAUGAAACGAUGUGGGUGCUUCGGUAUGAGGUAAGCCGGUUAAGUGCAUGUCCCCUCAGGAAAAUGAAAAGCAUUCCUGGCUUAAGCAGCCAAAACCACCCUGAGAGCAGCCCGACAACUGAGCGAGAGGGACGAGAAACAAUAGCCCUCGUCAGGUGCCAGUUGUGGUAUUGUGUGCAUCCUGUCCAUCUUUUGUGACGUCAACAAUACUGGCUUUUCUUGUGGAACGUCACACGGGGCCUUCAUCUAUUUCAUAUUAGUGGAGGUGUCGCGAGGUGCUGCCAACUCGGAUGAGCACUCACGCUUACUUUAAAACCAAAUUAAAAUAUCUUAAAGGUAACGUUUGCCACUAUUAAUUGGCCAGAAGUGCCCACGCGUGCAGGACAAUCAAACAACACAAACAUCUCGAGGUCUUGCUUUUGCUGUCAGGGGCCCAUUAAACGGAACUAAAAGUAUGCAGAGGGGACAAGAGCCGUACGGGUCCACCCUAUGUGUUUUUAAAACCUGUAAAUGAUUUAAAGUAGUACUGUGUAUUCUACUUUAGGAGACCGGUAAGCAGUCAUCAUACUUGCAGAAAAACUUUUUUUCAUAAAAACGUUACCAAGCUUAUGUUGAAUGCACUAAUCUUUCUUUGAUGGAAAUGAUUUCAGUAACAUUAUUUUGUCACUGUAUAACCAUAGCGGUAGCGAUCUUGCCAUGCUUUCUUUUGUUCUUCAGCUUUCGAAUAAUAUUCUUCUAUGUAGGAGUGUGUUUUCCCAUCAGAGACUGAUGCUGGGACUGUUGGUACAUAGUUCAAAAUGUACGUAGGGAAGGAGGAAUUGUACAAGCACAGACACCCAGUGUGUGUGUGCAUUCCAUUACUUCCUCUUGUGUAAGACUCCUUGAGGCUGAGUGUUGUUCUUUCAAACUCUUUUAGUGAAAUUGUAUGAGCUAUGUUUAUUGCACAAAAAUAAAGCAGUCUUUAUAACUGAAA
rnacentral:lncRNA from 1 species